rnacentral:rRNA from 1 species
UACGUAGGGUGCGAGCGUUGUCCGGAAUUACUGGGCGUAAAGAGCUCGUAGGUGGUUUGUCGCGUUGUCCGUGAAAACUCACAGCUUAACUGUGGGCGUGCGGGCGAUACGGGCAGACUGGAGUACUGCAGGGGAGACUGGAAUUCCUGGUGUAGCGGUGGAAUGCGCAGAUAUCAGGAGGAACGCCGGUGGCGAAGGCGGGUCUCUGGGCAGUAACUGACGCUGAGGAGCGAAAGCGUGGGGAGCGAACAGG